rnacentral:rRNA from 1 species
GUCCAGACUCCUACGGGAGGCAGCAGUGGGGAAUAUUGCACAAUGGGGGAAACCCUGAUGCAGCGACGCCGCGUGAGUGAAGAAGUAUUUCGGUAUGUAAAGCUCUAUCAGCAGGGAAGAUAAUGACGGUACCUGAGUAAGAAGCCCCGGCUAACUACGUGCCAGCAGCCGCGGUAAUACGUAGGGGGCAAGCGUUAUCCGGAUUUACUGGGUGUAAAGGGAGCGUAGACGGCAUGGCAAGUCUGAAGUGAAAGCCCGGGGCUCAACCGCGGGACUGCUUUGGAAACUGUGCGGCUGGAGUGCAGGAGGGGUAAGCGGAAUUCCUAGUGUAGCGGUGAAAUGCGUAGAUAUUAGGAGGAACACCAGUGGCGAAGGCGACUUUCUGGACGAUAACUGACGUUGAGGCACGAAAGUGUGGGGAGCAAACAGGAUUAGAUACCCCUGUAU